CCUACGGGAGGCAGCAGUGAGGAAUAUUGGUCAAUGGACGAGAGUCUGAACCAGCCAAGUAGCGUGAAGGAUGACUGCCCUAUGGGUUGUAAACUUCUUUUAUAUGGGAAUAAAAUGUUCCACGUGUGGGAUUUUGUAUGUACCAUAUGAAUAAGGAUCGGCUAACUCCGUGCCAGCAGCCGCGGUAAUACGGAGGAUCCGAGCGUUAUCCGGAUUUAUUGGGUUUAAAGGGAGCGUAGGUGGAUUGUUAAGUCAGUUGUGAAAGUUUGCGGCUCAACCGUAAAAGUGCAGUUGAAACUGGCAGUCUUGAGUACAGUAGAGGUGGGCGGAAUUCGUGAUGUAGCGGUGAAAUGCUUAGAUAUCACGAAGAACUCCGAUUGCGAAGGCAGUUCACUGGACUGCAACUGACACUGAGGCUCGAAAGUGUGGGUAUCAAACAGGAUUAGAUACCCGGGUAGUC
rnacentral:rRNA from 1 species